UUGUACCUGUCAAAGAAUUAUCAUUAUGACUUUCCAAAUUAAAUUUGCUAAUAUGCACUGGUUCAAAUUUGAACGUAAAUUUUUAAAAAAAUUUUAAAAAAAUGUUUAGGCAUACAUAUAUCUUAGUAUGCUACAAUUUACAUACACAAAUUAAUUUGUAUAAACAAUGUUUUUCUUUCCAAUUUAAAAUAUCCAAUAUUAUAAACUGCACAAAUAAAUGACAGGAAUAAAAUCAGAAAUGUCCACAAGAUCUGGAAAAAUUAAUAAUUACCAGUAUUCUUCAUGUGGUGUGUGGGAACGUAUCCGAUAAAUUGUGUACCACUUUUUGAACAAUAAUUUAGGAAUAUUUUAAGCAUCAAAUAGCAGAUGACAAGGUAGUCCAAAGAAUACUUUUUAAAGUUUAGUCAUAAACGAAGCGUUCGAUCUAUUUUUAGCCAACUAGAAGAAAAUGGGAUAGCAGUGGAGCCUCAACAUUUAUAGUAUUUAUAGAAGUACUGCU
rnacentral:lncRNA from 1 species